GAGUUUGAUCCUGGCUCAGGACGAAUGCUUGCGGCGUGCCUAAGAAAUGCAAGUCGAACGGGAGAGAGAGCAAUCUUUCUCUAGUGGCGAACGGUCGCGUAACACGUAGGCAACCUGCCCGAAAGUGGGGGACAACAGCCUGAAAGGGCUGCUAAUACCGCAUGUGGCCCUCUUGUGGCAUCACGAGAGGUCUAAAGCUUAAUGCGCUUUCGGAUGGGCUUGCGGUCUAUCAGGUAGUUGGUGGGGUAAUGGCCUACCAAGCCGACGACGGGUAGCUGGUCUGAGAGGACGAUCAGCCGGAUUGGGACUGAGAUACGGCCCAGACUCCUACGGGGGGCAGCAAUUAGGAAUCUUGCGCAAUGGGGGCAACCCUGACGCAGCGACGCCGCGUGCGGGAUGAAGGCAUUCGUGUCGUAAACCGCUUUUUACGGGGAAGAAGAAUUUGACGGUACCCGUCGAAUAAGCCCCGGCUAACUACGUGCCAGCAGCCGCGGUAAUACGUAGGGGGCGAGCGUUGUCCGAAGUUACUGGGCGUAAAGCGCGCGUAGGCGGUCAUUUAAGUUCGGGGUGAAAGGUUCAGCGCUCAACGCGAACAGUGCCUUGAAUACUGGGUGACUUGAGUUCGGGAGAGGGCAGUGGAAUUCCUGGUGUAGCGGUGAAAUGCGUAGAUAUCAGGAGGAACACCGAUGGCGAAGGCAGCUGCCNGGCCUAGAACUGACGCUGAGGUGCGAAAGCGUGGGGAGCGAACGGGAUUAGAUAUCCCGGUAGUCCACGCCGUAAACGAUGAGUGCUAGGUGUUCGGGGUAUCGACCCCCCGGGUGCCGCCGCUAACGCAGUAAGCACUCCGCCUGGGGAGUACGGCCGCAAGGUUGAAACUCAAAGGAAUUGACGGGGGCCCGCACAAGCGGUGGAGCAUGUGGAUUAAUUCGUCACUAACCGAAGAACCUUACCCAGGCUUGACAUCGCGUGUAACUCAGUGAAAGCUGAGCCCCUCCGCAAGGAGGCACAAAGACAGGUGUUGCAUGGCUGUCGUCAGCUCGUGUCGUGAGAUGUUGGGUUAAGUCCCGCAACGAGCGCAACCCUCACCGUAUGUUGCCAGCGUAAAGUCGGGAACUCUUACGGAACUGCCCGUGCAAGCGGGAGGAAGGUGGGGAUGACGUCAAGUCGGCAUGGCCCUUACGCCUGGGGCUUCACACAUGCUACAAUGGGCAGCAACAGACGGCUCCGAGACCGCGAGGUGGAGGGAAUCCGAGAAAUCUGUCCUCAGUUCGGAUUGCAGGCUGCAACUCGCCUGCAUGAAGCUGGAAUCGCUAGUAACCGCAGGUCAGCUAAACUGCGGUGAAUACGUUCCCGGGCCUUGUACACACCGCCCGUCAAGUCACCUGAAUUGUCUGCACCCGAAGCCAGUGGCCGAACCCCAGCAAUGGGGGCGGAGCUGUCUAAGGUGUGGGGAGUAAGGGGGACUAAGUCGUAACAAGGUAACCGU
rnacentral:rRNA from 1 species